rnacentral:rRNA from 1 species
AACGAACGCUGGCGGCAGGCUUAACACAUGCAAGUCGAGCGCCCCGCAAGGGGCGCGGCAGACGGGUGAGUAACGCGUGGGAAUCUACCCAUCUCUACGGAAUAACGCAUGGAAACGGGUGCUAAUACCGUAUACGUCCUUCGGGAGAAAGAUUUAUCGGAGAUGGAUGAGCCCGCGUUGGAUUAGCUAGUUGGUGGGGUAAAGGCCUACCAAGGCGACGAUCCAUAGCUGGUCUGAGAGGAUGAUCAGCCACGCUGGGACUGAGACACGGCCCAGACUCCUACGGGAGGCAGCAGUGGGGAAUAUUGGACAAUGGGCGCAAGCCUGAUCCAGCCAUGCCGCGUGAGUGAUGAAGGCCCUAGGGUUGUAAAGCUCUUUCACCGGUGAAGAUAAUGACGGUAACCGGAGAAGAAGCCCCGGCUAACUUCGUGCCAGCCGCCGCGGUAACAC